UACGAAGGGGGCUAGCGUUGUUCGGAAUUACUGGGCGUAAAGCGCGCGCAGGCGGUCUUCCAAGUCAGUGGUGAAAGCCCGGAGCUCAACUUCGGAACUGCCAUUGAAACUGUUAGACUUGAGGACGAGAGAGGUGAGUGGAAUUCCCAGUGUAGAGGUGAAAUUCGUAGAUAUUGGGAAGAACACCAGUGGCGAAGGCGGCUCACUGGCUCGUUUCUGACGCUCAGGCGCGACAGCGUGGGGAUCAAACAGG
rnacentral:rRNA from 1 species